AUUGAACGCUGGCGGCAGGCUUAACACAUGCAAGUCGAGCGGAGCGAGGGUGCUUGCACCUUAGCUUAGCGGCGGACGGGUGAGUAAUGCUUAGGAAUCUGCCUAUUAGUGGGGGACAACAUUCCGAAAGGGAUGCUAAUACCGCAUACGCCCUACGGGGGAAAGCAGGGGAUCUUCGGACCUUGCGCUAAUAGAUGAGCCUAAGUCGGAUUAGCUAGUUGGUGGGGUAAAGGCCUACCAAGGCGACGAUCUGUAGCGGGUCUGAGAGGAUGAUCCGCCACACUGGGACUGAGACACGGCCCAGACUCCUACGGGAGGCAGCAGUGGGGAAUAUUGGACAAUGGGCGGAAGCCUGAUCCAGCCAUGCCGCGUGUGUGAAGAAGGCCUUUUGGUUGUAAAGCACUUUAAGCGAGGAGGAGGCUCUUAAGGUUAAUACCCUUGAUGAGUGGACGUUACUCGCAGAAUAAGCACCGGCUAACUCUGUGCCAGCCGCCGCAGUAAAAC
rnacentral:rRNA from 1 species